ensembl:lncRNA
GGAUUCUCGAAGAGAAAACGCAUGAUUUGCGGGUUAAAUGGGGGAUUCUCGAAGAGAAAACGCGUGAUUUUCGCUUAAUUGGAGGACUUGCGAAGAGAAAACGGAUGUUUUUAGGGUGAAAUGGGGGAUUCUCGAAGAGAAAAUAUGUGAUUUUUUCUUUAAUGGGGGAUUUGCAAAAAGAAAACGUGAUUUUCGCAUAAAUAUGGGAUUUGAUUUCAGAAAACGCCUGAUUAUCGCUUAAAUGUGGAUAUUCGAAGAGAAAACGUGUGUUUUUCGCAUAAAUGUGGGAUUCUCGAAGAGAAAACGCGUGAUUUUCGCUUAAAUGGGGGAUUUGAGAAAACGCGUGAUUUUCGUUAAAUGUUGGAUUCUCGAAGAGAAAAUGCGUGAUUUUCGCUUAAAUGGUGGAUUUCUGAAAAGAAAACGCGUGAUUUUCGUGUUAAAUGGAAGAUUCCUGAAGAGAAAAUGCGUGAUUUUUGCUUAAAUGGCGGAUUUGUGAAGAGAAAACGUGUGUUUUUCGCUUAAAUGGGGGAUUUGCAAAUUGAAAAUGUGCCAUUUUCGGGUUAAAUGGGGGAUUUGAGAAGAG